UGUUUAGUUUUAGUGUUUCAGUGUUUAGUUUUAGUGUUUCAGUGUUUAGUUUUAGUGUUUCAGUGUUUAGUUUUAGUGUUUCAGUGUUUAAUUUUAGUGUUUCAGUGUUUAGUUUUAGUGUUUCAGUGUUUAAUUUUAGUGUUUCAGUGUUUAAUUUUAGUUUUUCAGUGUUUAAUUUUAGUGUUUCAGUGUUUAAUUUUAGUGUUUCAGUGUUUAAUUUUAGUGUUUCAGUGUUUAAUUUUAGUGUUUCAGUGUUUAGUUUUAGUGUUUCAGUGUUUAGUUUUAGUGUUUCAGUGUUUAAUUUUAGUGUUUCAGUGUUUAGUUUUAGUGUUUCAGUGUUUAAUUUUAGUGUUUCAGUGUUUAGUUUUAGUGUUUCAGUGUUUAGUUUUAGUGUUUCAGUGUUUAGUUUUAGUGUUUCAGUGUUUAGUUUUAGUGUUUCAGUGUUUAAUUUUAGUGUUUCAGUGUUUAAUUUCAGUUUUCAGUGUUUAAUUUUAGUGUUUCAGUGUUUAAUUUCAGUUUUCAGUGUUUAAUUUUAGUGUUUCAGUGUUUAAUUUCAGUUUUCAGUGUUUAAUUUUAGUGUUUCAGUGUUUAAUUUCAUGUUUCAGUGUUUAAUUUCAGUUUUAGUUUCAGUUUUUUAGUUUAGUUUUAGUUUUAGUUCAGUGUUUAGUUUCAGUGUUUAGUUUUAUGACCCUGGUGGUAGUGUGACCCUUCUUCUGUACCAUGAACCUCCCAAAGAACUCAUUAUAACCCGACUGACCUUUUUGUCCUUUGGCCUUGAUGUGAGGGGCGAAGGCGUACAACAAUAAUACAACAAUUGAGUCGGAUCAGGACGCUAGUAUUCUCCAAGGUGAACUCAACAGAUUAUAUGACUGGGCGGAUAAAUGGCAGAUGGAGUUCAAUGUAGGGAAGUGCAGUAUUCUGAGUGUAGGUAGGAACAACCCCUCACAUAACUAUUGCUUAAAUGACACUCUCAUAAGUAGGUCUGGGUGCGAGAGGGAUUUAGGGGUCUUAGUGAGCUCUGAUCUCCGUCCAAGGGCACAAUGCAUUCAAGCUAGAAAUCGAGCUAAUGGGGUACUGGGAUUUAUUUCAAGGAGCGUAAGCAACAGAAGCCCCGAAGUCUUCCUCAAACUAUAUUUAGCAUUAGUUAGACCUCAUCUUGACUAUGCGGUUCAGUUCUGGUCACCUUACUAUAGAAUGGAUAUCAAAAUGUUA